GAUGAACGCUAGCGGGAGGCUUAACACAUGCAAGUCGAGGGGCAGCAUAGGGUAGCAAUACUCUGAUGGCGACCGGCAAACGGGCGAGUAACGCGUAUGCAACCUACCCUGUACAGGGGGAUAACCCGGAGAAAUUCGGACUAAUAUCCCGUAAUAAUAUCCGGAGGCAUCUUUGGAUAUUUAAAGUUCCGACGGUACGGGAUGGGCAUGCGUAACAUUAACUGGUUGGUAAGGUAACGGCUUACCAAGGCUAUGAUGUUUAGGGGUCCUGAGAGGGUGGUCCCCCACACUGGUACUGAGACACGGACCAGACUCCUACGGGAGGCAGCAGUGAGGAAUAUUGGUCAAUGGGCGCAAGCCUGAACCAGCCAUCCCGCGUGCAGGAAGACGGCCCUAUGGGUUGUAAACUGCUUUUCCAGGGAGAGAAACUUACGCACGUGUUGCGUGACUGACGGUACCCUGGGAAUAAGCAUCGGCUAACUCCGUG
rnacentral:rRNA from 1 species